UCGGGAAUUUUGGGCAAUGGGCGAAAGCCUGACCCAGCAACGCCGCGUGAAGGAUGAAGUAUUUCGGUAUGUAAACUUCGAAAGAAUAGGAAGAAUAAAUGACGGUACUAUUUAUAAGGUCCGGCUAACUACGUGCCAGCAGCCGCGGUAAUACGUAGGGACCAAGCGUUGUUCGGAUUUACUGGGCGUAAAGGGCGCGUAGGCGGCAAUUCAAGUCAUCUGUGAAAUCUCCGGGCUUAACUCGGAACGGUCAGAUGAUACUGCUUUGCUAGAGUGCAGAAGGGGCAAUCGGAAUUCUUGGUGUAGCGGUGAAAUGCGUAGAUAUCAAGAGGAACACCUGAGGUGAAGACGGGUUGCUGGGCUGACACUGACGCUGAGGCGCGAGAGCAAGGGGAGCAAACAGGAUUAGAUACCCACGUAGUCCCUGAGCGGGCUGGCAAGGCGCAU
rnacentral:rRNA from 1 species